ACUAAAAUAGUUUAAUAAAAAAUAUUAAUUUUGUAAAUUAAAGUUGUCUAAUCUUUUAGUA
rnacentral:tRNA from 1 species